rnacentral:rRNA from 1 species
CCUACGGGUGGCAGCAGUGAGGAAUAUUGGUCAAUGGGCUUACGCCUGAACCAGCCAAGUCGCGUGAGUGAAGACUGCCCUAUGGGUUGUCAACCUCUUUUGUCAGGGAGCAACGCCGGCUACGUGUAGCCGGACUGAGUGUACCUGAAGAAAAAGCAUCGGCUAACUCCGUGCCAGCAGCCGCGGUAAUACGGUGGAUGCGAGCGUUAUCCGGAUUUAUUGGUGGUAAAGGGCGCGUAGGUGGAUUGUUAAGUCAGUGGUGAAAGUUUGCGGCUCAACCGUAAAAUUGCAGUUGUAACUGGCAGUCUUGAGUACAGUAGAGGUGGGCGGAAUUCGUGGUGUAGCGGUGAAAUGCUUAGAUAUCACGAAGAACUCCGAUGGCGAAGGCAGCCCACUGGACUGCAGCUGACACUGAGGCUCGAAAGUGUGGGUAGCAAACAGGAUUAGAUACCCCUGUAGUC